CUACUGCCUUUGAACUGCCACCGCGCCUGCAUGUGGCACUGGGGGUUAGGCUGUGGUAGAGCAGCACCUGCUUAGUUGGGGUCGCCAGCUCAUCGCGGGAGGUCCUUUUAACUGCUAGCUACACGG
rnacentral:snoRNA from 1 species